rnacentral:sRNA from 1 species
UGAGAUUCAAAUUGCCUGCCCCGGUCGGU